rnacentral:rRNA from 2 species
GGGUUGUGAGGUUAAGCGACUAAGCGUACACGGUGGAUGCCCUGGCAGUCAGAGGCGAUGAAGGGCGUGCUAAUCUGCGAUAAGCGCCGGUAAGGUGAUAUGAACCGUUAUAACCGGCGAUACCCGAAUGGGGAAACCCAGUGUGAUUCGUCACACUAUCAUUAACUGAAUCCAUAGGUUAAUGAGGCGAACCGGGGGAACUGAAACAUCUAAGUACCCCGAGGAAAAGAAAUCAACCGAGAUUCCCCCAGUAGCGGCGAGCGAACGGGGAGGAGCCCAGAGCCUGAAUCAGCAUGUGUGUUAGUGGAAGCGUCUGGAAAGGCGCGCGAUACAGGGUGACAGCCCCGUACACAAAAGCGCAUGUGCUGUGAGCUCGAUGAGUAGGGCGGGACACGUGGUAUCCUGUCUGAAUAUGGGGGGACCAUCCUCCAAGGCUAAAUACUCCUGACUGACCGAUAGUGAACCAGUACCGUGAGGGAAAGGCGAAAAGAACCCCGGCGAGGGGAGUGAAAAAGAACCUGAAACCGUGUACGUACAAGCAGUGGGAGCCCCACCACCAAAGCAUUCUCUGGUGUUGAAGGCCCUGCAAAGCAGCAUCGCGGUGGCGGAGCGUCGUUUGCGACGCCCAACACACAAAACAAGCGGUGAGUGCUUUGGGGUGGGGUGACUGCGUACCUUUUGUAUAAUGGGUCAGCGACUUAUAUUCUGUAGCAAGGUUAACCGAAUAGGGGAGCCGGAGGGAAACCGAGUCUUAAUUGGGCGUUAAGUUGCAGGGUAUAGACCCGAAACCCGGUGAUCUAGCCAUGGGCAGGUUGAAGGUUGGGUAACACUAACUGGAGGACCGAACCGACUAAUGUUGAAAAAUUAGCGGAUGACCUGUGGCUGGGGGUGAAAGGCCAAUCAAACCGGGAGAUAGCUGGUUCUCCCCGAAAGCUAUUUAGGUAGCGCCUCGUGAAUUCAUCUCCGGGGGUAGAGCACUGUUUCGGCUAGGGGCCAUCCCGGCUUACCAACCCGAUGCAAACUGCGAAUACCGGAGAAUGUUAUCACGGGAGACACACGGCGGGUGCUAACGUCCGUCGUGAAGAGGGAAACAACCCAGACCGCCAGCUAAGGUCCCAAAGUCAUGGUUAAGUGGGAAACGAUGUGGGAAGGCCCAGACAGCCAGGAUGUUGGCUUAGAAGCAGCCAUCAUUUAAAGAAAGCGUAAUAGCUCACUGGUCGAGUCGGCCUGCGCGGAAGAUGUAACGGGGCUAAACCAUGCACCGAAGCUGCGGCAGCGACACUCAGGUGUUGUUGGGUAGGGGAGCGUUCUGUAAGCCUGCGAAGGUGGCCUGUGAGGGUUGCUGGAGGUAUCAGAAGUGCGAAUGCUGACAUAAGUAACGAUAAAGCGGGUGAAAAGCCCGCUCGCCGGAAGACCAAGGGUUCCUGUCCAACGUUAAUCGGGGCAGGGUGAGUCGACCCCUAAGGCGAGGCCGAAAGGCGUAGUCGAUGGGAAACGGGUUAAUAUUCCCGUACUUGGUGUUACUGCGAAGGGGGGACGGAGAAGGCUAUGUUGGCCGGGCGACGGUUGUCCCGGUUUAAGCGUGUAGGUGUGUGUUCCAGGUAAAUCCGGUUCACUUUAACACUGAGGCGUGAUGACGAGGCACUACGGUGCUGAAGCAACAAAUGCCCUGCUUCCAGGAAAAGCCUCUAAGCAUCAGGUAACAUCAAAUCGUACCCCAAACCGACACAGGUGGUCAGGUAGAGAAUACCAAGGCGCUUGAGAGAACUCGGGUGAAGGAACUAGGCAAAAUGGUGCCGUAACUUCGGGAGAAGGCACGCUGACACGUAGGUGAAGUGAUUUACUCAUGGAGCUGAAGUCAGUCGAAGAUACCAGCUGGCUGCAACUGUUUAUUAAAACACAGCACUGUGCAAACACGAAAGUGGACGUAUACGGUGUGACGCCUGCCCGGUGCCGGAAGGUUAAUUGAUGGGGUCAGCGCAAGCGAAGCUCCUGAUCGAAGCCCCGGUAAACGGCGGCCGUAACUAUAACGGUCCUAAGGUAGCGAAAUUCCUUGUCGGGUAAGUUCCGACCUGCACGAAUGGCGUAAUGAUGGCCAGGCUGUCUCCACCCGAGACUCAGUGAAAUUGAACUCGCUGUGAAGAUGCAGUGUACCCGCGGCAAGACGGAAAGACCCCGUGAACCUUUACUAUAGCUUGACACUGAACAUUGAGCCUUGAUGUGUAGGAUAGGUGGGAGGCUUUGAAGUGUGGACGCCAGUCUGCAUGGAGCCGACCUUGAAAUACCACCCUUUAAUGUUUGAUGUUCUAACGUGGACCCGUAAUCCGGGUUGCGGACAGUGUCUGGUGGGUAGUUUGACUGGGGCGGUCUCCUCCUAAAGAGUAACGGAGGAGCACGAAGGUUGGCUAAUCCUGGUCGGACAUCAGGAGGUUAGUGCAAUGGCAUAAGCCAGCUUGACUGCGAGCGUGACGGCGCGAGCAGGUGCGAAAGCAGGUCAUAGUGAUCCGGUGGUUCUGAAUGGAAGGGCCAUCGCUCAACGGAUAAAAGGUACUCCGGGGAUAACAGGCUGAUACCGCCCAAGAGUUCAUAUCGACGGCGGUGUUUGGCACCUCGAUGUCGGCUCAUCACAUCCUGGGGCUGAAGUAGAUCCCAAGGGUAUGGCUGUUCGCCAUUUAAAGUGGUACGCGAGCUGGGUUUAGAACGUCGUGAGACAGUUCGGUCCCUAUCUGCCGUGGGCGCUGGAGAACUGAGGGGGGCUGCUCCUAGUACGAGAGGACCGGAGUGGACGCAUCACUGGUGUUCGGGUUGUCAUGCCAAUGGCACUGCCCGGUAGCUAAAUGCGGAAGAGAUAAGUGCUGAAAGCAUCUAAGCACGAAACUUGCCCCGAGAUGAGUUCUCCCUGAGACUUUAAGUCUCCUGAAGGAACGUUGAAGACGACGACGUUGAUAGGCCGGGUGUGUAAGCGCAGCGAUGCGUUGAGCUAACCGGUACUAAUGAACCGUGAGGCUUAACCUUACAACGCCGAAG